CGAUUGAUCCGUGGGAGAAGCCGUCCUACUCUUUUCUUUCUCCUUUGUCCUUCUCAUUCCUGACCCCUUCAGGAUUCUCAGUCUUCCCUCCGGGAGACUUUUGGCCAGUCUUGUCUCGCUCCAACCUCCUACCCCCACCCCAUUCCUCAGUGCAUUCGUGAAUUUCUCCAAGCAGGCCUUUCCAGAUCGACACUAAGUUCCAAUCCCGAGCUGUGUGACCCAGCACCAAUUCAGUCACGAUGAUGACUUGCAAUUGCUUAAUCAGUUGGCCUUUCCUCCUAGCUGUGAAGGUGAGGACCGCCGGUGUCAGCGUUCGUCCUGAAUACUCAGUGCCCAGGCACAGAGUAGGCAUUCAGUCAAUACUUGUUGAACGGGUUAAUGGAUUCCUGAUGUUCACUGGUUGAUAUCGUCACUUUCAAAUAAUUUCUCCCAUUUUUCUGUUUUGUUUUCACCCUCCUAGUUUACCGUGCAGGAUUGCAAACACCAGAGAGAAAAUCAGUCUCUGGAAUGAUGCCUUUGAUGGACCAAGAUGCAGCUGAUGAAGCAUUGAACCAAUUAGCACCUAGCAGGAGGGCACCCUUGCUCUGUGUCCUUGAAGGUUAAAGCUGUCAAAAAGUGGUCUCCCUCAAGUUCGGCCAUCUUGCUCUCAGAGAUCUAGAACUGGACUCAGUCAAAAUUUUGGGCCAAGGAGACCGACGCGCUGUCGCCUGCACUAAGAGAAACGCAACGAACAACUUUGUCAAUGCAUUGCAUUAUACUAUAGCAGCAACUAUACUUUUAAAUGAUUCGAAUCUUGAGGUUUCAAACUGAACCGUCUUGUGCCUUUUGCCCGGCGGGCAUUUCUGCGGGGACCGCGGGUCACCUUCUGAAUUUUUACCUUCAUAAACAGCAAGGACUGCGCUCUUUCGCACGGCGCCCCGUUUUUUCGUAGAGUUCCGUCGGCCAAAACCACUUGAAACUCGCUCAGCGGCGUCGGGGCUCCAGCCAGGCGUCACCUUCCACAGCGAACCUGCGAACCACAGCGUCCCCUGGGGGUCUCCGUCCGCGUGGCCGCUUCCUCUUACAUCGGUGACGCAAGGGAAGGGCGUCUAGGAUCCGCCGGUUUCCUUCCUCACUGCUCCCAUCAGUGCGAAAGCAACGUGUUGGGGGUUCGGGGUGUGUGGCGGCUGAACAGCUGCCUGAAGUUCUCUGAUGGCGCUGGAGGGAGCUCCAGAGAAGAGGUCAUGGGGAGAAGGCACACCUUAAACGCCC
rnacentral:lncRNA from 10 species